rnacentral:rRNA from 1 species
UACAGAGGUGGCAAGCGUUGUUCGGAAUUACUGGGCGUAAAGGGCGCGUAGGCGGCCUACUAAGUCAGACGUGAAAUCCCCCGGCUUAACCUGGGAACUGCGUCUGAUACUGGAAGGCUUGAGGAUGGGAGAGGGAUGUGGAAUUCCAGGUGUAGCGGUGAAAUGCGUAGAUAUCUGGAGGAAUACCGGUGGCGAAGGCGGCAUCCUGGACCAUUACUGACGCUGAGGCGCGAAAGCUAGGGGAGCAAACGGG